UACGAAGGGAGCUAGCGUUGUUCGGAAUCACUGGGCGUAAAGCGCACGUAGGCGGAUGUGUCAGUCAGGGGUGAAAUCCCGGAGCUCAACUUCGGAACUGCCUUUGAUACAGCACGUCUUGAGUCCGAUAGAGGUGGGUGGAAUUCCUAGUGUAGAGGUGAAAUUCGUAGAUAUUAGGAAGAACACCGGUGGCGAAGGCGGCAUCCUGGACCAUUACUGACACUGAGCCGCGAAAGCUAGGGGAGCAAACGGG
rnacentral:rRNA from 1 species